AUUGAACGCUGGCGGCAUGCCUUACACAUGCAAGUCGAACGGCAGCACGGACUUCGGUCUGGUGGCGAGUGGCGAACGGGUGAGUAACAUAUCGGAACAUACCCUAGAGUGGGGGAUAACGUAGCGAAAGUUACGCUAAUACCGCAUACGAUCUAAGGAUGAAAGUGGGGGAUCUUCGGACCUCAUGCUCAUGGAGUGGCCGAUAUCUGAUUAGCUAGUUGGUGAGGUAAAGGCUCACCAAGGCGACGAUCAGUAGCUGGUUUGAGAGAACGACCAGCCACACUGGAACUGAGACACGGUCCAGACUCCUACGGGAGGCAGCAGUGGGGAAUUUUGGACAAUGGGGGCAACCCUGAUCCAGCAAUGCCGCGUGAGUGAAGAAGGCC
rnacentral:rRNA from 1 species